UGUCCAAGCUAGCAGAUGUCAUGGUCAGACAUGGUGUGAAGAAAGGAGGUCAUGUUGUCAUCUACAUGCCCAUGAUUCCACAGAGUAUACUGUAAGCUGGCUUGUGCAACAAUAGGAGCCAUCCAUAGCCUGAUUUUCGGUGGAUUUGCCUCUAAAGAGCUUGUUGUUCACAUAAUCACACAAAGGUUGUGAUCUUGACUGGGAAGAAGAGCUUUCAAAAGCACAAUGUUAUAAGUGUGUCUGUUCCUUCAGACCAUCCAUUUUAUAUUUUGAAUACCGCUGGAACAACAGGCUUGCCCAUGGUAAAGGACUAUCUGUAGUCUAACUGUCUGUAACCUAUUUGCAGUUCCACUUGAGGAAAAUAUUUAAUUAAAAAGGUUGAAAAUGUUUACCGGAGCUCACUGCUAUAAAUGAUUAGCAUUGUGCCUACUGGUGGUGUGUGAAAUGACAUGCUACUGUCAUCUGGAAGAGACAGAUGAUAGGGACAGCUUGACACUUCCGAGCACUUUCAGCCAACGGAGCAAAGAUCUCUAGGAUAACUCUCCAUCAGAAUGUUUUGAACUGCAUUUUUGGUCCAAUGAGCAAGGCUUAAUCUGGUCUAAAAUAACCUUCGAAUGACAUCUAAUGGAAGAUGUAAAGAGCAUUGGCAUUGAAUGGUUUAAUCUACUAAUCUGCUCUAAUUCACCUCACUAUCUGCUUUGUGAACCAUAUAUUUGACACAGUGUGUGCUCACAUUCAUGUUUCAUGUUACUAUUUCACAUGAUACUAUGUUUAUUUUUGUCAAUGUGUGUAGUAAGAAGAAGAUUGGUAAUCUCUCAAAGAACAGCAGAUUGUCUCCGACUGACAGCUGUGUAUGUUGCUUUCUGCUUUUGUUUAUCAUCUUUGUAAU